AAUCAACGCUGGCGGCGCGCUUAACACAUGCAAGUCGAACGAGAAAGCACCUUCGGGUGUGAGUAAAGUGGCGUACGGGUGAGUAACACGUGGAUUAUCUACCUUUUAGUGGGGGAUAACCCUGGGAAACCGGGGCUAAUACCGCAUAAUCUCGCAAGAGGAAAGCAGCAAUGCGCUGAAAGAGGAGUUCGCGGCUGAUUAGCUAGAUGGUGGGGUAAUGGCUCACCAUGGCGAAGAUCGGUAGCCGGCCUGAGAGGGCACACGGCCACACUGGCACUGAAACACGGGCCAGACUCCUACGGGAGGCAGCAGUGGGGAAUCUUGCACAAUGGGGGAAACCCUGAUGCAGCGACGCCGCGUGAGCGAUGACGCCUUUCGGGGUGUAAAGCUCUUUCGACGGGAACGAUAAUGACGGUACCCGAAGAAGAAGCUGCGGCUAACUACGUGCCAGCAGCCGCGGUAAUACGUAGGCAGCAAGCGUUGUUCGGAUUUACUGGGCGUAAAGAGUGCGUAGGCGGUGCUCCAAGUUUGGCGUGAAAUCUCCCGGCUUAACCGGGAGGGUGCGUCGAAAACUGGAAUGCUUGAGGGUGAGAGUAGCCUUUGCC
rnacentral:rRNA from 1 species